rnacentral:rRNA from 1 species
AUUGAACGCUGGCGGCAGGCCUAACACAUGCAAGUCGCACGAGUGGCGGACGGGUGAGUAAUGUCUGAGAAACUGCCUGAUGGAGGGGGAUAACUACUGGAAACGGUAGCUAAUACCGCAUACCAUCGGAUGUGCCCAGAUGGGAUUAGCUCGUAGGUGGGGUAAAGGCUCACCUAGGCGACGAUCCCUAGCGGGUCUGAGAGGAAGACCAGCAACCAUGGAACUGAGACACGGUCCAGACUACUAACAGCGGCAGCAGUCGGGACUAUUGCACAAUGGGAACAAGCUUCAUGCAGCACUGCCGCGUGUAUGAAGAGGGCCUUCGGGUUGUAACGUAACUUCACCGCGGAGGCGUUACCCGCAGAAGAAGCACCGGCUAUCUCCGUGCCAGCAGCCGCGGUAACUC